rnacentral:rRNA from 1 species
GACGAACGCUGGCGGCGUGCUUAACACAUGCAAGUCGAACGGAAAGGCCCUGCUUUUGUGGGGUGCUCGAGUGGCGAACGGGUGAGUAACACGUGAGUAACCUGCCCUUGACUUUGGGAUAACUUCAGGAAACUGGGGCUAAUACCGGAUAGGAGCUCCUGCUGCAUGGUGGGGGUUGGAAAGUUUCGGCGGUUGGGGAUGGACUCGCGGCUUAUCAGUUUGUUGGUGGGGUAGUGGCUUACCAAGGCUUUGACGGGUAGCCGGCCUGAGAGGGUGACCGGCCACAUUGGGACUGAGAUACGGCCCAGACUCCUACGGGAGGCAGCAGUGGGGAAUAUUGCACAAUGGGCGGAAGCCUGAUGCAGCAACGCCGCGUGCGGGAUGACGGCCUUCGGGUUGUAAACCGCUUUCGCCUGUGACGAAGCGUGAGUGACGGUAAUGGGUAAAGAAGCACCGGCUAACUAUGUG